GGGAGCACUGUCCCCCAAGAUCUUCCUACUCUGGUCCCUCACGCGCACCGCAGUGAUGCUGGGAACCAGAAUAUGACAUCACUCCGGCUCCCGGCAUCACUAAGCAGCGCAAAGGAGUUGAGCAGGAAGUUCACAGCUCUCUCGUGGCCUGCACUGAACGUCUGCCCGCACAGCACCACAGGAGCCAACCCAGCCAACAGCAACCCUAUUGUACGUCAGGGACAUCAGCCCCAUUGAACCCCAGGGAACAAUCCACUCCAGCUUUCCCAAAGGUAGGGAGGCUGGGAGGAUUUAUAUUAAAAUUAACUAACAUAUCAUUUGUGAGUGUGUUAGACAAUGUUUCUGAGUGUGUCAGUAUCACGGUGUGUCUCAGUGAAUGUGUGUGUGUGUCUAUGGAUGUGUGUCUGAGUGAAUGUGUGUCUGUUGGUGAAUGUGUGUCUGUCAGUGUAAGUUUGUCAGGGAAUUUGUGUGUCUGAGCGAAUGUGUGUGUGCAUCAGUAAAUGUGAGCGUGACUGUCAGUAAAUAUGUUUGUGUCUGUCAGUGUGUCUGUCAGUGUAUGUCCAUCAGUGUUUGUGAGUGAGAGUGCAUCAGUUAGUGAGUGUAUGUCAGUGAGUGUGUGUCUUUCAGUGUAAGUCUGUAAGUGAAUGUGUCUGUCUGUCAGUAUGUGUGUGUCUGUCAGAGUGUGUCUAUCAGUGAAUGUUUGUGUCUUUCAGUAUAAUCUGUCACUAAAUGUGUGUGUCUGUUAGUGAAUGUGUGUGUGUGUGUGUGUGUGUGUCUGUCAAUGUAUCCCUGUCGGUGUGUGUAUGUGAGUGUGUGUGCCAGUGUUUGUCUGUGAGUGAGUGUGUAUCUGUUAUUGGGUGUAUGUGUCUGUCAGUGUAUGUCUGUGAGUGAGUGUGUGUGUCUGUCAGUGAAUGGGUGUAUUUUAGCAAGUGUGUGUGUGUGUGUGUGUUUGUGGGUGUGUGUCUGUCAGUGUAAGUCUGUAAGUUUGUGUCUGUCAGUGGAUGUGUGCGUCAGUGUGUUUCUGUCAGUGAAUGUGUGAGUGUGUGUGUCUGUCUGUCAGUGAAUGUAUGUCACUGUAUGUGUAUCUGAUAGUGUGUGCAUGUCAGUGAGUGGUUGUGUCAGUGUAUGUCUGUCAAUCAAAGUGUGUGUUGAUCUUAAAGCAAGGUGUGGCCUUGACAGGAAGGGACGGGGCAAAUUUAGAUUGGUGAGGAUGGUGUCCGAGUUUUGUUAUGCCUAGGGCAGCACAUAUCCAAAAUACACCACUGGCCAUGUCAGUGAUGAACAAGAUUCCCUAAUGUUAUUCACAUGUGACAGAUGGGAGACCCACAUAUCAAGAGAAGCAGCCGCUGCCAUUUCAAGAGUCACAGAUUGGAAUUAUUCUAUCAUGGGUUCUUAAAUCAAAGGAGACAAUGAUGGAAUUCUUCCAUCACGGGGUGUGAAGGGGUUAAAGCUAACCUUCUCAGUGUUCAUAGAGACUAAAUGCAAGCAUCGUGUGACUCCCAGAACAUUACGUUUUCAUUUCAAAUUCCUGUACAAUGCAGCCUUCGGGCUAUCCUUUGCUGACCUAUUUUUGGUGAGUCUAUCAGUCAACCACUGACCUGUACAGCUUUACGGACAAGCUCUGUGAUUGGCAGAUGACCUGACUUUUAUUUUGUCAUGUAAGGACCUCAUCUAACAGAACAAAAUGAACACAGUUUUCCUGUAAUUCAAUUCACCACAAUUAACUUUUUAGGGAAUAAACUCUUACAUUUUUUAAAUAAAAAAAAAAAGCUAGAAAAAGAAAAUGGGAGCUCUCACUCAUCCCUAGAUAUAUGUUUUUUUACAAAGUCGAAUGUCCACGGAUUUCUAAUGUCUGUUUGCCUUCUGUCUUAUUUGGAGCAUUUUAAAUUUGCAGACAGGAUUCUAGACUCAGUGUUGGGCUUAAGAAUUUGUUGAAGCUGUACAGGUUAACUGUAAUAAUUUCCUUCAUUUUGUGUCAGUGUGACAGUGUACUUUGUUAAAAUUAACAUUAACUACCUGUAAAAUGCUCUACAUGUGUACCAGUGAAGAAAUUACUUUUUGACAAUUUAUAUUUUAGUUGCAUUUUCCAAUUUUAGUAGGUGGCUACCUUGAAUAUAGAAACAGGUUAGUCUAAUAAAUUAGAUUAGCUCAUUAUGGCUAACUUGGAAAAAAAAAACUACAACUACUAGGUUAUUUGCUAAAGUGCAGCUUGUCAGGAUUGCAAAGUGGAUCUAAAAUUGGAGGCCAAAAUAGUCAAAUUGCAAAAAUUCUGUUUUUUAAAUUCAGCUUUUUGGCCUAAAAUGUUAACUUCAUUUUAGAUUAACGUUGAAUUUUCAACAAUUCCCACUUUACUAGGUAACCCCAAGUGAGAUUUCUUUCCCAAUUCUCCCAUUUUGACCUAAAUGCUUUCUGACGUUACAGAAUUUGCUGUUUAAUGAACACAGUGCUUUGAUUUAGCUUUUAGUACUAUUGUGUUCUUUCAUGGAAUGUAAACCCAGUUCUUUUAAGAUUAUAACAUUUCUUCAUUUAAUGUACUACAAGGAAGCACUCGGAGCAGAGAUGCAUACAUAUAUGUUUACAAGUUGCCUUUUUUGUCAUUUUAUGAGUUUUUGUGUUUUGUUUUUGUUUGUUAUUUUUGUGUUGUUUUUUUUUAAUCUGACAAAUUGAUUAUAUCUGAG